rnacentral:misc_RNA from 1 species
CCCUCCCCCUCCACUCUCGUGGGUUGAAGUCAGGCUGGGAGUCCACGUGACCAUGGCCGACCCAAGUCCCUGGGUCAAAAACAGCAGUUCGGCCAAGGCAUCCUAGGCCAAAAAUAGCAGUUCGGCCGAGGCAUCCGUGAGCAGCCCAAGUCCCCGAGUAAGUCGGGUUUCGUACGCGUGACGGAUGUGCGGCUUGGGCAAAAACAGCAGCUCGGCCGAGCGACAUCGGUUUGGCAAGCCAGUCCGUGCUCGGGCUAUGGGGCGCACACAUGACCUAAGUGCCACUACACCGUACACCACAGGGGCUAAGCGUGUAUGCACGGUUGGAUGGACUUUUUUUUUGUUAGCGCGGUCGGAUGGACUUGCGUGUAAGCAUGUAGGCACGGUCAGAUGGACCUUGCGCGUGCAUACCCGGUCCACCAGCUGUUCACCCAUCGUACACACGACUGUGUGGUCGGAUGGACCUUGCGUGCGUGUAUGCACGGUUGGUUGGAUGGAUGGCGAUGAGCAGCUAGGACUCGGACCGUGUGUGAUGAUAUGCCUCACAAGGUCACGGGAGAAGGACAAGAUGACAUUGGGACAAACGAGCCCAAAACGGGACCCGGUCCCACUGGGGGUUGGCCCACGGGGCCUGUCCAUCCGUGGAGAACAACAAAUGCCAUGCACCUCCUUGGCGGAAACCUACGUGUCUUGCCGAAAACAUUUGCAAAACUAUGUAUCUCUUGGAUGUCCUGAGGUCCUCCAAAACGCUGGAAGGAACCAUACAAAAAACUGAUAGAACCUCCUGGUAGGGGGGUUGGCCCUCUAGAACAUUAGGGGGUGAUGUCUGGUUGCUUGAGGCCUCAGGUAAAAUGCUUCAAAACCACUAGUGUUUUGAUGACCCGCUAAUGAGGCUCCACCGAAUGUCGGUCACGCCCCCAGCGCCCGUGGUCGGCUGGUGGCCUGCCGUGGAUAGCUUUGACUGGCUGCAACGGGCUGCUGGCUGCCCGGCUAGCCAAUGUGUGGCCAUUAGUGACGGCACACUGAACUGAAGUGACAGAAGUUUUGGUGGGCAGCUGGCUAGCUUGGGUGGCCAGCGUGUUGUUGGAACUGUUUUGGUGACUCACGGCCUCCCUUAUCAGCCGGCAGCCUACGGUGGCGUGCUUCUAUGGCGUGCUACUAUGGGUAGCUGGCUGUCGUGGGUGCGUAGCUUGUUGUUGGAACAGUUUCGGUGAUGCGUGGACACCCUAGCCGGCCGGCAGCCUGUGUUGGCCUGCUUCUGUGGGCGCUGGCCCGUUGAUGGUUAAGUUUUGGUAUCUCCCGUGCUCUGUGGACCUUCGGUUGCUAUCCUCGCAAGUAGACUCACUAUGCCUAGCGUGGAGUGAUGCUUUGGAUGGCUUAACCAUCGUGGCUACGCUGGCGCAUGAGUUGUUUUAGACAUGUGACUGCUUGGAGGACCCAGUGUCCGUUCAUUCAUGCGGGCAUGUUUUGCCUGCUGCAUUGACAAGUGCUUGCGUGCUCUACCAGUUGCAUUGGAAGUUGUGCUCAUUACAUGUUGUUUACAUCAAGAACAUCCUCUAGGUGUGGCUCAUUGGCUAUGAAGCGCUUGUGGCAUUGCCUCGUGCUUCAUUUGCCCAUGUCGACAGCACCAAGGACACCUCGCUUGUGCUCUUGGUCUUGGAUGUGGCUGAUGCUGAAGGCCGGAGGGCAUCACCCUCCCGUGCCUAAAAAUUCAGUCCAUUUGGAAACAACGACAGCUAGCCCCUAGCCGAUGCCUCGUGCGGAGGCUGGCGCUGGCUCGU